rnacentral:tRNA from 3 species
CGCGGGAUGGAGCAGUCCGGUAGCUCGUCAGGCUCAUAACCUGAAGGUCGCAGGUUCAAAUCCUGCUCCCGCACCCA